CCUACGGGGGGCUGCAGUGGGGAAUAUUGGACAAUGGGGGCAACCCUGAUCCAGCCAUGCCGCGUGUGUGAAGAAGGCCCUCGGGUUGUAAAGCACUUUCAGUGAGGAAGAACGCCUGGUGGUUAAUACCCAUCAGGAAAGACAUCACUCACAGAAGAAGCACCGGCUAACUCCGUGCCAGCAGCCGCGGUAAUACGGAGGGUGCGAGCGUUAAUCGGAAUUACUGGGCGUAAAGCGCGCGUAGGUGGCUUGAUAAGCCGGUUGUGAAAGCCCCGGGCUCAACCUGGGAACGGCAUCCGGAACUGUCAAGCUAGAGUGCAGGAGAGGAAGGUAGAAUUCCCGGUGUAGCGGUGAAAUGCGUAGAGAUCGGGCGGAAUACCAGUGGCGACGGCGGCCUUCUGGACUGACACUGACACUGAGGUGCGAAAGCGUGGGUAGCAAACAGGAUUAGAUACCCUAGUAGUC
rnacentral:rRNA from 1 species